rnacentral:rRNA from 1 species
ACGGGGGGAGCAAGCGUUGUUCGGAUUUACUGGGCGUAAAGGGCGCGUAGGCGGUCAGCACAAGUCAGUUGUGAAAUCUCCGAGCUUAACUCGGAAAGGUCAACUGAUACUGUGCGACUAGAGUGCAGAAGGGGCAACUGGAAUUCUCGGUGUAGCGGUGAAAUGCGUAGAUAUCCGGAAGAACACCGGUGGCGAAGGCGGUCGACUGGGCCAGUACUGACGCUGAGGCGCGACAGCGUGGGGAGCAAACAGGA